GAUGAACGCUGGCGGCGUGCCUAAUACAUGCAAGUCGAGCGAACGGACGAGGAGCUUGCUCCCCUGAUGUUAGCGGCGGACGGGAGAGUAACACGUGGAUAACCUAACUCUACGACUGGGAUACCUUCGGGAAACCGGAUCUAAUACCGGAUAAUAUUUUGAACCGCAUGGUUCAAGCGUGAAAGUCGGUCUUUCUGUCACUUAUAGCUGGAUCAGCGCUGCAUUAGUUAGUUGGUAAGGUAACGGCUUAACAAGGCAACGAUGCAUAGCCGACCUGAGAGGGUCAUCGCUCAGCCUGUAACUGAGACACGUCCCACACUCCUACGGUAGGCAGCAGUCGGGAAUCUUCCGCGAUGGGCGAAUGCCGGACGGUGCAACGCCGCGUGAGGGAUGAAGGUCUUCGGAUCGUAAAGCUCUGUUAGUAGGGAAGAACAUAUGUGUAAGUAACUGUGCACAUCAUGACGGUACCUAAUCAGAAAGCCCCGGCUAACUACGUG
rnacentral:rRNA from 1 species